rnacentral:tRNA from 1 species
GCGCCCGUAGCUCAAAGGACAGAGCAGCGGAUUUCUAAUCCGCCGGUUGGGGGUUCGAGUCCCUCCGGGCGUG